GUUAUGUGUUGUUUAAUCUGCAACUUGUCUCUCCUGCUACUGGUUCUCUCUUCCUCUCAUUGUCUCUCCUUCUGUAGUCUCAAUUUUGAAAUUUAAGUUUUAAAUAAUUUUGAAUGAAUUUUGCCAACCUACAUUCUAGCUAUGCAGUUUCAGAAUCUCUUUUGUAUCAUGCCUCGGGUCAAUCCACCAUAUCUGUCACCAAGGUCCACUCGAGAGCACUGUUAGAUAAGGGGGAGCUAACUCGUAUGUGCUGGAACCAAGGGACAGGGGGUCAGUCUAUCGCUAGACUUAAUGUUCUGAUAGGCAUAGCUAAAACGCAAGGAAGGUUUUCAUAAUUUAAUUACUGUAACAAUUUAAACAAAUGAUGAUAACAAAUCAAUUAGUAAACAAUUCCAAAUAAUAAUAAUAAUCUAAUUAAAGUACAAAGUAUCAAAUCUAAAUAUCAUCCAAAGUAAAACUAUUUCUCCUUAAAAUGUAAAAUAUAAAAUAAAUGCCAAAAUUACUAAAACAUAAAAUGUACUUAAUCUCAAUUUCAAAAUAUAAAAGUCUCAAAAUAAAAGUUUCUCAAAAGUAUUUUCUAAAGUUAAAUUAUGAGUCAGAGAUAAAUUUUGUCUCACACUACACAGUCAACUGGUAGACUGGUAGACAGUCUUAUAGGGCCAGUAUAAUGACAUGAGUAGUGUGAGGUUACGCUUCCGAAAC
rnacentral:lncRNA from 1 species